GAUGAACGCUGGCGGCGUGCCUAAUACAUGCAAGUCGAGCGAACAGACGAGGAGCCUGCCCCUCUGAUUUUAGCGGCGGACGGGUGAGUAACACGCGGAUAAACUACCUAUUAGACUGGGAUAACUUCGGGCAACCGGAGCUCUUAUCGGAUAAUAUCUUGCAACGCAUGGUUCAAUAGUGAAAGACGGUUUUGCUGUUACUUAUAGCUGGCUCCGCGUCGCAUUAGCUAGUUGGUAAGGUAACGGCUUACCAAGGCAACGAUGCGUAGCUGACCUGAGAUGGUGAUCGGCCACACUGGAACUGAGACGCGAUCCGGACUCCUACGGGAGGCAAGGGUGGGGAGUCUACCGCAAGGGGCUGAGGCCUGACGGGGCAACGCCGCGUGAGUGAUAAAGGUCUUCGGAUCGUAAAACUCUGUUAUUAGGGAAGAACAAAUGUGUAAGUAACGAUUCACGUCUUGACGGUACCUAAUCAGAAAGCCACGGCUAACUCCGUG
rnacentral:rRNA from 1 species